rnacentral:rRNA from 1 species
UACGUAGGGGGCUAGCGUUGUCCGGAAUCAUUGGGCGUAAAGCGCGUGUAGGCGGUCCGGUAAGUCCGCUGUGAAAGUCGGGGGCUCAACCCUCGGAUGCCGGUGGAUACUGUCGGGCUUGAGCACGGAAGAGGCGAGUGGAAUUCCUGGUGUAGCGGUGAAAUGCGCAGAUAUCAGGAGGAACACCAAUUGCGAAGGCAGCUCGCUGGGACGUUACUGACGCUGAGGCGCGAAAGCGUGGGGAGCAAACAGG